rnacentral:rRNA from 1 species
CCUACGGGAGGCAGCAGUGAGGAAUAUUGGUCAAUGGACGCAACUCUAACCCAGCCAUGCCGCGUGAGUGAAGAAGGCUUUCUGAUUUUUAAGCUCUUUCUGAUGUGACGAUGAUGACGGUACCAUCUAAAGAAGCCGCGGCUCACUUCGUGCCAGCAGCCGCGGUAAUACGACGGGAGCCACCGUUAUUCGGAAUUACUGGGCGUUACGGGGGUUUAGGCGGUUUAGUAAGUUCGUGGGGAAAUCCCUGGGGUUAACUUUGGACUUGCCAUUAUAACUAUUAGACUAGAGUUAGAGAGAGGAACGGGGAAUACGAGGUGUAGAGGUGAAAUUCGUAGAUAUUGGGUAGAACGCCAGUGGCGAAGGCGACUAACUGGCUGUAAAUUGACGCUGAGGCUCGAAAGCAUGGGGAUCGAACAGGAUUAGAUACCCCUGUAGUC